AAUCAACGCUGGCGGCGUGCCUAACACAUGCAAGUCGCACGAGAAAGGGACUUCGGUCCUGAGUACAGUGGCGCACGGGUGAGUAACACGUGAAUCAUCUACCUUCGAGUGGGGAAUAACUGAGAGAAAUCUUAGCUAAUACCGCAUAAUACCUACGGGUCAAAGCAGCAAUGCGCUUGAAGAGGAGUUCGCGGCAGAUUAGUUAGUUGGCAGGGUAAUGGCCACCAAGACGAUGAUCUGUAUCCGGCCUGAGAGGGCGCACGGACACACUGGAACUGAAACACGGUCCAGACUCCUACGGGAGGCAGCAGUGGGGAAUUUUG
rnacentral:rRNA from 1 species